AGACGUGCUGUCAUUCAGGGUUUGUUGUUCCAUUUAUAGAGCACAGGCAGAGUAGAUUCAGCAUAUGUUUUAAGGGCCCUAGAAUUUUCAGAAUGGUAGGUACGCAUCGGCUUCAACUUAAAGUCGCCAGAUGCGUUAAUCCUAACAAGACUCAGCCUGUCCUUUGAAGCUUUGAAGCCAGGCAUUGCCUUUUUCUCUCUAACCGUGAAACUCCUAGAUAACAUACAUUUCCAGUAGAAGGCUGUUUCAUCAACACUGAAAAUCUGUUGUUUAGGGUAGCUACCUUCGUCAGUGAUCUGAGCUAGAUCUUCUGGAUAACUCGCUGCCGUCACACUUCCUGCUUCACCUUGCACUACAGUAUUAUGUUAUGAAGAGAUCUUCCUUCCUUAAACCUCAUGAACCAACCUCUGCUAGCUUCAGACUUUGCCUCUACAGCUUCCACACUUCUCUCAGCCCUUAUAGAAUUGAAGAGAGUUCAGGGCGUACCCCUGAAUUAGAAUUUGGCUUAAUGGAAUGUUACGCUGGUUGGGACUUUUAUCCAGACCAUUAAACUCUCCACACCAGCAAUUUCAUUUUCUUACCAUGGUGUGUCCACAGGAUUAAUGUCCUUCAAGAACUUUGCCUUUGCAUUCACAAUUUGGCUCUCUGUUUUGUCCAAGAGGCCUAGCUUCUGGCCCACCUCAUCUUUUGACAUGACUUACUCACGAAGUUUAAUCAUUUCUAGCGUUCAGUUUUAAGUGAGAAAUGCAUGCGACUCUUCCUUUUACAUGAACAGUUACAGGCCAUUGUAGGAUUAUUAAUUGGCCUAAUUUUCAUAUUGUUGAGUCUCAGAAAGUAGGGAGGCCCAAGGAGAAGAAGACAGCUGGGGAAGCAGCCAGUCGGCAAAGCAGUCAGAGUCCAAACAAUGUGUAUCAGUUAAGCAUGCUGUCUUACAGGGAUGCAGCUCAGGGUGCCCCAAAAUAGUUACAGCGGUAAUGUCAAGGGUCACUGAUCACAGAGCACUAUAACAAAUAUAGUAAUAGAUUUUGAAAUAAUCCUAGAAUUGCCAAAAUGUAACACAGACACAAAGUGAGCCCGUGGCAUUUGGAAAAUGGCACCAAAGCUUCCAGAUAGCUGAACACAUGGCGGUUCCUAGAGGAGGUGGUGUCUAGGGAGGCAAGGAAGCACCACACCACUUCCUCCAUCCCUUGGCUUAUGUGUCUCUUCAUCUGUAUCUUUUGUAGCAUCUUUUAUAAUAGCUGAUAGACGUGCUUCUCUGAGUUCUGUGAGCUGCACCAGGAAAUUAAUCAGAUUCAACGAGGGCAUCGUGGGAACUCCAACUUGAAGCUGGUCAGAAGUUCUGGAGGCCCUGACUUGCAACUAGCAUCUGGAAAGACCCUCUACUCUUGAUUCAUUUGAUUAAAAAAUUUGUGAACACUGCAUCCUGACUGUGGCCCUCAGAUGGAGUGUCUUGCAGCUGUUAAUGACACCCAGCAGAAAGCAUCCAGUGAAUUCUUAGGAUGAGCUGGUAAAAAAUUUGGGAGAGCUCUUGCCCUGGACUUUCUGGGACAAUUUCGUUCUUCACAGCAGAGUUCAGGUCUUCUUGAGCCCUUUGCCAUGGGAAAGCUGUGCUCUCUGAUUUCUCCUCUGAGGCUGUCUUCCUCACAGCUCAAUUGCAGUUCUGCAGCACAGUCAAAAAUCUGGGCAUUUCCCAGCAUUUUAUGUAUUGUGCCUAAGAAUGAAUCUGUACACUCUGGGUAAGUAGGAAUUCAGUCUUAGACACACAGUGCCUUGUGAAUUGCUAAAAGGAUUUCCUCUGGGCAACACUCAUUAUGGGUUGUGAUCAAGUUACAGAAUGUUCGUGUUGCUUCUUAAUCAGCUUUGUUUGUGAUUUGAUAUAGUUGAUCAAGAUUGCAAAGUGAUUUUAAUUUUUGUGCUUAUAUAUUAAGGAGUGGUCUCUUUGCUGUUUCAAGUGAGCCAUCUAUAAAAUUAAUUUAAUCACCCAUUCAUAUCUACAGACUAUAAAAAAUGAAUAUUAUAUAGAUAUUGAACUGCAUACAUAUAAAAAAUUUUCUAACAGAAAUAUCUGGGCUACAGUUGUCAAAAAAGGGAAGGCUCACUUUUAGUGCGCUCGCUUUUAGAGCAAGCAAAAUAAUAUAUAUUACAGGUUAAGAAAGAGAAAAUAACAAAAAAAAAGAGAAUUGAAAUAAACUGCAAUUCUUAUAUUCUUUUUUCCUUAUCACUAGGUUUUGCAGAAUCCAGCUCCAUGAGAAAGGUUUCCCCAUUAUUAGUCUCCUAGUAGGCUUUGUAAUUAGGAAAAAACCUCAAAACUCCCCCCUCCCUUUGCUAUGUCUUGGUUGCAUAAUCUUAUUCUUGGAUAUAGUCAACAUAAAUUUAGGGCUUAUAUUCAAAUCAAGUUUGUAAAAUAAAAUAUUUCUUCUUUCAAAUUUGCGUCUGUAGCCCCCAUCCCUCGUCAGAUGUCAGGAAUAAUUGGUGGAUACAGGGUUUGUUCUUUAAAUAAGAAAGCAAGCAUUGUUUUCUUACAAAUGAGUAGAAACAGAUGAAAGAUAGGGCUCCUGCAUCAGACUUCUAUCUUGUGUUUCUGGGAGAGUUGUGGUGCUAAGAUAUCCAUCCUUCUCCCCAUUUGUUCUAAAGAUCCCUAGGCCUCCCAUGUGCUGGAGAGUUAGAGAGGAUUUGAAGUCUUUCUGAGAGUGACUCCUCACGUUACUGUGGCUUUCUGUUAGUAAUACAAGUGCUUUCCCAGCAUCUGUGACACAGUUUUCUCCUUCUGUCUUUCUGUUCUCUAAGGUAAUGAGCACAAGGUAUCUAAUUUUAAGAAAUGGAACAGUGAAGCAUAAACUUAACUUAUCAGAUGGCUUACACUUCACUCCAAGGGUUCAGAUUAUUCAUUCUCUGAUUUCCCCUUUGCUUUUCUAAGAAAAAUACAGUUUUAUGUUGACGAAGACUAAAGAAGUUCAGCUUUGUAGAAGGAACAGAAUAUCUCCGUUGCUACAAGUUUUUGUUGUUAGUUCUUAUUUGUAACCAAGAGCUCUGAUUUUCCUGGCCAUGUCUGUUGUAGACUGCAGCAGUUCUUAUUUGGUGCUGCAGGAGAAGGGAUGCAGCCCUUCUUUCUGGGUUCUUUUGGCCCAAGAAGCCUUUCAGAACAUGAAAUGUAGGCUCCAUGAGCGAAGGUGUUUUUGCCUCUUUUGUUGGCUGUUCUGUCCUGAUAUGGGGAAUACUGCUUGGCACACAGCAGACUGUCUGUAAAUAUUUAUGGAAUGAAUGAAUGAAUCCUCCAUGAAAUAGGCUUAGUGGAUGGGGUUUACUAGAGCUUGACCUCCAGUGACCUUCAUGUGGGGAGACAGUGUUGCCAGUGAGUGUCAUGGUUGCCUUUCUAUUCCAGCUCUUUGUCCUGGGAAGAGCUUGCUGCAUCUUCUAGUUUCAGUAAUCAAUGAAGCAGAGUUCUCCUGCAAUUCUUCAAGGAGCCUUGAGAAUUCAAAAGGUCUUCGGGUGGCUGCAUCAAUCCUGCAGACAAAUGCUAGUCGGCAGAGGGGCCAUUCCCAGGGCCACAUGGCUGGCUGGGUUCAGUCUUGGCCAGGUAUGGAAGACUUUUUCAGACACGCAGCAUGCCUACAUGAUUUAAUUUUGAAUGCCAUAGACCUGGUGAGUCAUAAAAUAGCAACCAAUGAUUAUAUUUUAGAGUGCUCAUUUCCUCACAAAAAUCUCAAAGCAUGUGACGAUAGGUUGGAAUGUGUAAAGAAAAGCUAAGAAAGCAGACUUCUGAUAAGAACAGCUUGUGACUUGUACAGCAGCUCUGAAGUACAGCCUGAAGGAUGGAAUGCUGACAGUUCCUUCUUUCUUACCUGCGAUUGCUAGAAUUUUAUUUAGCAGAUCAUUUUUGAGCCAAUCUCAAAAUGAGAAAAUUCUUUGAGGAAUUAUGCAUAAUGUUAAGUAUAUUCUCUUUCUUGUUGCCUGUGGAGAUUCCACUGGUAACAGGGCAGAUUUCUCACUGCAGGUUAGAUGGAGAUGCUGCUGCUGUCUUUGGACAUAAUAGUUUAUGAUAAGGAGGUCAAAAUAAUUCCUUUUUAGCCAUGCAGUUGUCUGUAAAUCUGCUUAGCUGGUCAUCCUAAGCAAUGACAUUUAAGAUGUAGUUGAUAGGCUGUUUAUCUUAAAGAAACGUUUUAAAAUUAAUUCUUCAGACCUAUGCAAUAUUUUAUCUUUUCUGUUUAAUAGUAUCCAAAUGUGUUUUUGUGAGGCACAAAACACAUGCGCUUCACCAAAUCAGCCAGAGAGCUUUGAAAAUAUAACAUAUUUCAAGUAUGUAGCAAAGACCUUCAAAACAAAAUUAUUGAAGGAGUAUAAAAAGGUGAAUUUGCUUCAGUUUUAGAUUUUUAAUAGACUUCACUGUUAUGUAGUGAAGACAGAAAUAUGCCGUAAAGUUUCUGGUUAAGAGCCAAGUGUUUCUCUUGUAUCAUUUCAGAUCCUGUCAUUUCUAUCUGAUCUUUAGAAUAGACUAUACACAUUCAUAAUUCUGAGUAUAAUCAGAAAAUACAAUAUCUAUAACAUUAUUCUUUAUGCUCUUUAAAUAAAUAUGCUGGCACAUGAAUUCACAAUUUAAAACUCUGACUUUGUAAGAAAUUUGCAUGUAUCUCCAAUGAAGACAUUGUUAAACUUGCAUUCUUUGUCCAUGAUUUAUGACAGUUUUGUGCAUGAUUUACUCAUAAUUUAUGAGACCUUUACAUUUGUGAAAAUAAAACACAUACGUUGAAAGUUAUUUCAAAAUACACAUCAGGUACAUCACUUCAUUCUGUCAAUCUGAUCUCUAAAGAUUUCUCAGGUUCGUCGUUUACUUUCAUUUCUCUUCCCACAGCCAGAGCCCAGAUCACCAUCAUUCCUUCCUCUCUGGACUCCUGGAAUGUGAUCCCAUUCUUUAUGCCUCAGAAUAAUUAAUGACACAGAAAAAAUACAUUAUGUAAAAAAAGUAGGAGUCCAAACUGAACAUUCAAGUUGAUUGAAAACACACUAAAAUGUUAACAGUGAUGGAAUUGGCAGUGAUACCUAUUUUGCUCUUUUAUACUUUGUAAUAUUUUCUAAAUGUUCUACAAUAAGCAUGAAUAAUUUUUUAAAAAAUUUAGUAAGGUGCAUUCUCCUUUAAACAAAUUCAAGCAACACAGAAAAGUGAAAGUAAAAACAAAUACUAUUUAAAACUACUACUUAGAAAUUCUUAUGAAAUUAGGGGAAUAACAUGUCAAACAUCUUAUUUUUCUCUCUGAGUGUUUACUCAGGCACGUGCGUGCACAUGCGCCUACAGAGCGGGAGAGGAGCAGCUAGUUAGCUAGCUAGAGACAGGCAAAGACUAAAAUUCUAUAUAUACAAGAUCAAACUAUGCAUAAGCCUAAACAGAUUAAAAUGUAUUACCUUAACUAUUUGUACCUAAAAACUCAGGCCUUAUUUAAAAUGCAAGGUGUCAGCUAUUGAAAAAAAAAUAGCUGACAGCUUGCAUUUUAAAUAAGCUUUUCAAGUUGUGGACUUAGACAUGUACUACCUCUAGCUCUCUUCCAAUUCUUUCCUCUUGCCUUUGGUUUCUACCUCUCCAUCGUAGGCUUGACUUUAUAAUUUUUUUAGCCUUAUUUUUUAAAAAAAUACUGUAAGUUCUGGCUUGACUUUGAGAAGAAGCACAGCUAACCUGCGAGGACUUUAGACCUAAUCUGCAUUUCUUAGGGAGAGAGAGAGGUGAAGAGAAGGAGAUGG